GCUGGGCGUGGUGACUCACGCCUGUAAUCCCAGCACUUUGGGAGGCCGAGGUGGGAGGAUCACCUGAGGUCAGGAGUUUGAGACCAGCCUGACCAACAUGGAGAAACCCUGUCUCUU
ensembl:misc_RNA Metazoa_SRP Metazoan signal recognition particle RNA